GAAGGGGUGCUUCAACUUCGUUUGGAGUUGCGGCUGAGAUCAUACCCUCAGAACCUGAUACGGGUAAUGCCGGCGUAGGGAUGGUA
rnacentral:ncRNA from 1 species